UAAUACACAUUUAAACCUGAAAAAACACUAAAUAGACAAAAUAAAACUUCGAUCAACAAUAGUAACUAGAUUUCGGGUCGUGCAUAAAAUCCGUCUCGUCAAAUAACAGCGCACUUGAAAUGUGAGCUCUUAUUUUGUUUAGUUCACUUCAAACACAGCCAAUGUCAACCCGUCUCAUAAUACCGCAAUGUAUAUUCAAAAGUUGCAAAAAUAAGGCCCGAAAAAGCAAUUUAACGGCCGGAGUAUCUUACUUUCGCUUUCCUAGCAAUCACGUGUGCAGAAUGGAUCUCGAUUGUCGCCAGAGAAACAAGAGAUGACUUUUAUAAGCCAGCUAAGAACUCCGCUUAUUGACACUGGACAUCUUUGCCUUCCGUGCUCACGGCUACUGAAAUGUGGCCGAAACAUUGUAAUAAAAAUACCGCGCUUGAAACCGUUUAAA